GUCCACGCCCUAAACGAUGUCUACUAGUUGUUGGGCUUUCGGAGCUUAGUAACGCAGCUAACGCGUGAAGUAGACCGCCUGGGGAGUACGGUCGCAAGACUAAAACUCAAAGGAAUUGACGGGGCCCGCACAAGCGGUGGAUGAUGUGGAUUAAUUCGAUGCAACGCGAAAACCUUACCUGGUCUUGACAUGUACGGAAUCUUUUAGAGAUAGAAGAGUGCCUUCGGGAGCCGUAACACAGGUGCUGCAUGGCUGUCGU
rnacentral:rRNA from 1 species